rnacentral:tRNA from 1 species
GGUGGCUCAGUGGUAGAGCUCUUGCCUUGCAUGCAUGAGGCCAGGGUUCGAUUCCUCAGCACCA